rnacentral:rRNA from 1 species
CCUACGGGAUGCAGCAGUGGGGAAUAUUGCACAAUGGGGGAAACCCUGAUGCAGCGACGCCGCGUGAGUGAAGAAGUAAUUCGUUAUGUAAAGCUCUAUCAGCAGGGAAGAAAAUGACGGUACCUGAGUAAGAAGCCCCGGCUAACUACGUGCCAGCAGCCGCGGUAAUACGUAGGGGGCAAGCGUUAUCCGGAUUUACUGGGUGGAAAGGGAGCGUAGACGGCAGUGCAAGUCUGGAGUGAAAGGCGGGGGCUCAACCCCCGGACUGCUCUGGAAACUGUACGGCUGGAGUGCAGGAGAGGUAAGUGGAAUUCCUAGUGUAGCGGUGAAAUGCGUAGAUAUUAGGAGGAACACCAGUGGCGAAGGCGGCUUACUGGACUGUAACUGACGUUGAGGCUCGAAAGCGUGGGGAGCAAACAGGAUUAGAUACCCCAGUAGUC